rnacentral:snoRNA from 1 species
AAAUCCUAAAUUCCUUACCCUUCCAAUCUAAACAUUGGUCUGCAUGGUUAUAAAAGGGGGAAAAGUAAUAUUGAAAUUGACUUGGAUUCUCUUUUGAUAUACAAAUUCAUUUAAAGCAAACAAAA